rnacentral:rRNA from 1 species
GACGGAGGGUGCGAGCGUUGCUCGGAAUCAUUGGGCGUAAAGGGUGCGUAGGCGGCUUCUUAAGUCCGGCGUGAAAGCCCAGGGCUCAGCCGUGGAAGGGCGCCGGAAACUGGGAGGCUGGAGUGCCGGAGGGGAGAGUGGAAUUCCUGGUGUAGCGGUGAAAUGCGUAGAGAUCAGGAGGAAUACCGGUGGCGAAAGCGACUCUCUGGACGGCAACUGACGCUGAGGCACGAAAGCGUGGGGAGCAAACAGG